GGCACUCUGUUUCUCCUCUAUUGAAGCACUCACCCAGAAGAAUAUGAUGUUUAUUAAUUGCAUCCUAAAGAGAGACUACAAGACUCAUGAGGAGAAGAUUUAACAUGGUAACCUUUAUACACCAGCACAAAUGUCUGUCAUAUUUGUGGUUUGAGUACAUAUUUAAAACUAUAUUAUGAGAUGUUUAAAAUGUCCCAAUGUCCCAAAAACCUCUAAAACAAUAUUACUGAAUGUGUUUGUGAGAAACUUCAGUGUAAUAAGCCUAAAAGAAAAUGCAUUGACUGCAUGCCCGUGAGAAUUCUAUAUCACUUCUAACUUUUAGUUGAAAUCUGUCCUGGGUGUUUCAUCUUUUCAUCCUUUGUUACUAUGACAUAUUUUUUUAUUGUAAUUAGGCUUUGUAUAUUAUUUUUUACAAUUUUUUACAAUAGAGAUAACAGUAAAAUUACACAUCACAACACAAAUUAAAAAGAAAGGUAAUAAUGCCAUUUACUGAAUAUUUAUUCUCCUUUCACUUCCUAAUUUGAGUUAUAUUGAAUCAAAGUAAUGGCUUUCCUAGAAUCAUUUCUUAUAUUAACAAUAAAAAAAUUGUAUGACAAGAAGCAUUCAUUGAGUGACAGACUGAUAAAGGCCUCUUAAUUAAGCAUUUACAAUAUUCAUUCUAUACUUUAUUUAUCUCAUAUCUGAAUAGCCCCAUCUCCUGAGCCAUGGUUGAGUGUAACUGUAUACUACAUAUGUCAAAAGCAAAACAACUACAAUUAAAAUUACAAAACCAGGUAAAGUUACAGUAAAAAGAAUGCCAAGUGAAUUUUAUUAUUUAAUAUAGUGAAUUUUACAAGAACCUUGAAUUUCACAAAGAGAGAUAAAUGUCUUUUGAGGAGAAUAAUUUGCUAUGGGAUUGCUCUUGAACUAUAUCGUGUCAGAACAUUCGGGGAUAUCUCGUCUAUGUUAAGGCUUUUGUAUGAAAGGCUAUUUUUUUUUUUUGGUGCAAGUGUAAUAUGGGAUCCCAAAGUUUUGGUAAUUUGUAAUUUGCUUGCUUCUAGUGAGUUCCACUUGCCAACCACCAGAGCCAAAGAUGAUUUAUAUUUGUUCUGCUAUUUCCUUUGUUUUUAUAUUUCUUUAGUUCCCUAGAGAAUAUGUUCUUUCCAGUCAGAUGAACUUAAUUUAAUGCAAGAUAAUUGGAAUGAGUACCUCUAUUCUUUUUAAAAUAUUUAUGCGGACUUCAUAGAAAACACUUCACUGUGGUGACAAAAGAGAAAAUUCCAUCCAGUUGGUAGCCGUUCCAGCUUUGAUCUGGAAGGACCACCCCCAUUGAGGUUCCGGUAACUAUCACACAUACAAGGCAGAGCUGAGAGAGGACCCUUGAAGACCUGGGAUCUGGAUUGGCAUGCUCUCUUGGUUCCUGGACCCUGGACGCUGGAGGUAGACUGAGCAGAAUUCUCCAGAGAACACCACCGGACUGUGCUGCACCUUUCCCAGACCCUGUUACCUAUCCUUUCACUUGUGAGUUACCCCAUAAAAUAAACCUCCCUUUUAACUACA